GCCUGGGUGGCGGAACUGGUAGACGCAAGGGACUUAAAAUCCCUCGGUACCUCGUACUGUGCGGGUUCGAUUCCCGCCCCAGGCACCA
rnacentral:tRNA from 2 species